rnacentral:rRNA from 1 species
UACAGAGGUCUCAAGCGUUUGUUCGGAUUCAUUGGGCGUAAAGGGUGUGUAGGUGGCGCGUAAGUCGGGUGUGAAAUCUCGGGCUUAACUCCGAAACUGCAUUCGAUACUGCGUGCUUGAGGACUGGAGAGGAGACUGGAAUUCAUGGUGUAGCAGUGAAAUGCGUAGAGAUCAUGAGGAAGACCAGUGGCGAAGGCGGGUCUCUGGACAGUUCCUGACACUGAGACACGAAGGCCAGGGGAGCAAACGGG